rnacentral:rRNA from 1 species
GGGAACGCGAAGAACCUUACCUACCCUUGACAUGCCAGGAAUCCCAUAGAGAUAUGGGAGUGCUCGAAAGAGAACCUGGGCACAGGUGCUGCAUGGCCGUCGUCAGCUCGUGUCGUGAGAUGUUGGGUUAAGCCCCGCAACGAGCGCAACCCUUGUCAUUAGUUGCUACGAAAGGGCACUCUAAUGAGACUGCCGGUGACAAACCGGAGGAAGGUGGGGAUGACGUCAGGUCAUCAUGGCCCUUAUGGGUAGGGCUACACACGUCAUACAAUGGCCGGUACAGAGGGCUGCCAACCCGCGAGGGGGAGCUAAUCUCAGAAAACCGGUCGUAGUCCGGAUCGCAGUCUGCAACUCGACUGCGUGAAGUCGGAAUCGCUAGUAAUCGCGGAUCAGCUUGCCGCGGUGAAUACGUUCCCGGCCUUGUACACACCG